UCUUGUCGUAUGGCAAGGACCCUACCCUUCAUCAUGGUGGUGUUUGGCUAGGCUUCAGCAAUCAAAGGAACUAGGAUCGCUUUGCAUCUGGACGACGGUGACACUGAGGUGCUAGCCACAGACAUCGUUCAAGCACAUCAGAAUAGCCUACAACGAGUUUCAGUAUUCUACCAAAUCAUGGCCCUUGACUAGAAAUAAAUAUAAAACGAGAGAAGAUGUCAGGCACCGAAUAUGGAGGCAUCAUGAUACAUCAUUGGUCAUUUCCAUCUUUUAUGUGUGAUUUUUGAUUGUCGUUGUCAUUGUCACUGUAUAGCUUAUCCGCUGACAUGUGUUAUCAAUACAAACCUUUAUUUUAGGUGUACUCUUUCAUUGACACACCCUUAAAGGUUUCCAACCGUAGUUUCUUCUGCUGAACUUUCAUGUUGUGUGGAUUGUUGCAACGAAAUUGUCCGACUGGUGUCACCGCCUCCAUCAGAGUUUUGUCGAGUGUUAUAUGUACAAGCAGCCAGAGAUGAGAGGAAAAUGCACUGCAUGAAGAGGAAUUGGGUUCAUUGGAGCUCGGGAGAAGGAUGAUGUGUCAUCGCCAAGCAUAUAAUCUGGUCAUCUUCUUGCCACGUGCAGGGGGGCUUGCAGGGGGGCUUGAUGUCAAGAUACCUUACCGAGGUGCAGACUUUUGUAGCAACACACAUACGUUGACACAAGGAUACACGACGUGGUACAUUUUAAUCAAAAUCUGUAUGUAUCUUAGCAGCACAUGUCACUUGAGAUUUGAGGAAUUUGUUUGUGGUCACAUAGUGGGAAAUGAU